rnacentral:lncRNA from 7 species
AGUGAUUGUGACAGACUUUGGAGCUUCCUUGUGCAUAAUCCAUAAGGUUUUGAACUAUGGUUUUUAUAGAGGAAUUGAAGACCAUAUGUUGGGGAACAACUUUCUUCAAGUGUGUUUGGAAUGAUCCUAUACAAAAAGUGGAUAAAAACUUUGCCAAAGUUGGAUUAUCAGGUUGUUGGUGACUUAGUUUAUUCAGAACUGAAAGUCUGAAAUCAAUAUUUUUAGUGCAGUUUUGGAGCUGUGUAGUGUCUGUUCUAGGUGGUUUUAAACCGAAAUUUCUGUAGAAAGUUUGAAGACCAUGUCAUGGGGAACAUGUCUCUUGAAGUGAGUGGGCCUAGUACUGUACAAGGUUGUGAGUAAAAUUGCUCCCAAACUUGCCCUGUCAGAAUUAGUGUAUGCUGUUUCAGAUCUCUGAAACUGAGUUUUUAGUGUUUUUCUUUAGAUUUUGGAGCUUGUUUGUGAUUGAUCCAAGGGGUUUAAGCCUAAGGUCCCUGUGGAGAAGUGGUAGAGAGUCAUUUGGUCGACAAGUUUUGUUAAACUUGCUCCCCCUGUUGCCAUGGAAAACUGAGAGUUUGCAGGGGGUCAACAGGGAGGUGUGCAGAUAAAACAAUAGGCUGAUGCAGUUGAGUUCAGUGUGGUAUAUGGAAUCUGAAGAAGAUCUGUUGCUUUUUGCUAGUGCCACUCGAGUAUGGGAUGGAGAUAAGAUUGAGAUACAUCACUAAAAGUCUAGAGACCACUCCCCACUAAAAUAUCCAAGGAUUUUGGACUGUUUUGGAGCAGUGAGCUAUGGACAGCAGAAUCCCUGUUGAUUUUGUUUGCUGCCUGCAGUAAUGGACAAAACUGAUAUUUAGGAUUAAGAUAAGGAUGAACUGGACAGCAAAUUUAGUGGCCUCAUCCCUGUACGAAAUAUCAAGUGUUAGACCUGUUUGAGCCUAUCCUCAAGUGGGAUAUUUUUGGGUUCCUAGCUGCCCUCUCUUAUCUGCAGUAGGAGACAAAAAUUGAUAUUUUGACCAUAUAAGAUGGACCAAGUUCUGUGUCUUUGUCUGUGCUGUGAAUCUGCAUGAUAGUAGUGCAUGGGAGCCACGUCUUUGAGUCCAUGUUGUGCUGGCACACUGGAAAACACAUCCCCUCUGCAGGUUUGCCAAGUUCAGAGAACACCUAUCCCAUUUCAGGUAUUUAAAGGGCAGGGAGCAGUGGAAAUCUCCUCUCUACCUCGAGCUCUACUCGCAUACCACUGCAUGGGUGUUGGGGUUCUUGUAUCCCUGCUAGUGAUGACCCUCUCCCACAGCCACCAAGUCUGCUCUGUCCAGAGAAUCAAGUGCCAGUGGUGACCAUGCUCACAAUUCUUUACCCCACCAUAGCCAGAACAUUCUAGGGAGUUGCUGGCCUAUAUGAAGCUUGUUCCAUAAUCAUCUCAGGUCAGUGAAGCUCACACCAAUUACUACUUGAACUCUACCACUAUUGGUUGCCUGGAACUAGGUGUGAAAUUUGGUCUAAAAUAGGGUUGUCAGAUUUCAGACUUAGUGCAAAUUCAGAGUCUGAAUUUGUAUGUUUUGGGUGCAGCUUUGGAGCUCUUUGCUGCUCUAUCCAUAGAGCUAUAGCUUAUGGCCACUAUAACAAAGUUAUAAAUCUAUUCUAGGAGUACAAGUUUGAUUGAGUGAUCUGGCCUAAAAACUAUACAGAACUGAUUGUAAAGCUUGCUCAAAACUGGGCCAUCAACUUCUGGGUUUCAGACUUAGCUAAUUGGCUAAUUCUGAAUUUCAGUAAACUUUAGCCAUGUUUGGACCUUUGUAGUGGCUAACCUGUAGGGAAUUAAAUUAGGUCUCUUAUAGCAAAGCAAUAGAGCUAUAGUAGAAGACCAGGUUUGGUUGAAGGCCAUACCCUAGAAGCUAUUUGAAAUUGGAGAAAAGGGUUGGCUAAAGUUGGACCGUCAGACUGUACAUAACUGAAUUUUGUUAUUCAGUUCUGUAAACUGAAUUACAGCAGGAUGCCUAGUUUGGAAUUCAUUUGUGACUGAUUCAUGGGGUUUUGGAUUAAGGGUUCCAUAGCAAAGUUGUAGACCAUAGUAAAGUGAACAAGUUUUCUAAAGUGAGAUGGACCUGAUUUCACAUAAAUUUGGGAGUAAAAGUAGCCAAAAGGUGGACUGUCAGGUGUUAGAAUUCAGACUUAGAAUAAUAUUUAAGUCUGAAUUUGUGUGUUUUUAUUUAAUUUGGGUCCUUGUGGUUAUUAAUCCAAGAAGAAUUAGUGUAGAAGUGUUAUAGCAAAGUGAAAGACCAUGUUAUAAGGAACAAAUCUCCUUAAGUAAGUUAGGAUUGAAUCCACAUAAAGUAGGAAAUAACAGCUGUCCAAAACUGGACUGCCAGAGUGACUGUGACUGAAUUUUAUUCAGUUAGCUGAAAUAGCAGUUCAGUGUGGGUUAGUGCUUUGGAAAGGAGAUAAGUUUAUCUAGGAAAGAGAUAAAGUUGCUUAAGAAGUUUUAUGCUUUUGGAUGAGAUAUAAGUUGGAUUAAUUCCCUGGUUUACCUAAGUGAAUUCAAAUUGGUCACUUUAAUCGAGCGAUAAGAAAUAGGUAUAUUCUUGUCAUGCGCUUUAGUUGUAGUGUUUCUGUUCUCCAUCUCUCUUUGUGAUAGUUUGCAUUACAUGGCAUUCAUUCUUAUAUAUAUACCUAUAUGGUUAUAUUUAGAAAACGGAGAAGAGGGUGAAGUGACUGAAGAAAAGACAUCACCACCUUUGGAAUCUCAGGCAGAGACUUGGCUCUACUUCGACAUCUGCGAGUCCGAGCCUGACUCACCUACUAACAAAGGCAAGCCCCGGUGCAUGCAACCCCUUCCUUGUGUUUUUAAAUACUUUUCGCACACUUUAAGUCUAGUGAAAUGUGCAUUAAGUUUAUAGGAGUUGCUUGAAACCCUUUGAUGCAUUGCUUUCCUUGAUAUCCAUACCUUUAUAGAUACUUCUGGUGAAGUAUCAAAAUAUGAUUUACAAGAAUGCUUAGCCCUGCUUAGAUCUUGUGGAUAGAGGUUGUCCUUAGCCUAGCUCGAGAAAGGAUGACUUCUACCUGCAAGAAUAUUUUCAUUUGGAGCAAUGGUGGGAUCUUACUGCAAAGUUCCCUGUGAUGCUCUUUUCAUCCUAAGGAACAGAAACAAUCCUAAGGAUGGAAGUACUUAAAUCGAGACUUGGGCUAGGAACAGGUGAUGCUCCGCCCGGGUCAAUUAAGGAUUGGAUGCGUAUGUAGGCCUGUUGAUCAAGGACUAUCUUAUCUAGCCACAUGCCCUGGGAAUGGGACAGGGUAAGCUUGAACCCGGCUAUUCCAUGCAUGAAAAGACAAUCGCGCACUGGGAGUGGAGAGAUGGCGAGAGUGGCACGUACCCUCCUGGCAAAGGAUCGCCUAAAAAGGGUGGUGUGCUCUCGGGUGGCGCAGACCUGUUCAUGCAGUGGAGGAUCCGUGGGAAUAGUAGACAUCAAGGUUUACGAGAAACAUAUGUCGUGUGGUUAGAGAUCCUCAGCUGAGUAAAUCGAUUCGGAUCGCCGUUAUAUCCCCGGAGAGUGGAGACUUGAGCUCCGACCUACAACCUAAGUCAAGAUGUGAACACUAUGAAUAAAAAUGAUGUUGUACUGAUGAGAUGAUGAAAUUAGACUAGAGGCAAACAGAGUCUAUUAAAAUUUAAUCUGGCGUUAAAAUGUUGAAAGUAAGGACUCACUUUAGUAAGCUAUUUCUGCAAAAGUAUAUAAGUUGAUUCUUGCUAAAGCCUCUCCUUGAUUCCUAUUUAUCCAGCAUACCCUUGAGAGUCUUUUCUUUAGUCGGGUAAGACUUGCUGAGUAAUUCCAUACUCAGGGUUUAUCCCUUUGUUGUUUUUAGGUGAGGUAGCGACAAAUUUUUGUUGCUUUGGCUCCAAGGUGGUAUCAAAUGAAGAAAAACAAGAGUGAAGAUGUGGGAGGACGUGGUCCUCCAUAUAGGACUUUUUGUUUAAAGUUAUCGGGAGGAGUUUUUGCCUCCCUUGAUAUGUGUACUACUCAGCACUCGUUAUAGCUCUGGUCUGUAAUAAGUAACUUGAUCCUACUUUCUAAAUAAAUGUAAGUUUAU